UACGUAGGGGGCUAGCGUUGUCCGGAAUCAUUGGGCGUAAAGAGCGUGUAGGCGGCCCGGUAAGUCCGCUGUGAAAGUCGGGGGGCUCAACCCUCGAAUGCCGGUGGAUACUGUCGGGCUAGAGUGCGGAAGAGGCGAGUGGAAUUCCUGGUGUAGCGGUGAAAUGCGCAGAUAUCAGGAGGAACACCGAUUGCGAAGGCAGCUCGCUGGGACGUCACUGACGCUGAGACGCGAAAGCGUGGGGAGCAAACAGG
rnacentral:rRNA from 1 species